rnacentral:rRNA from 1 species
ACUCAAAUGAAUAGACGGGGACUUGCACAAGCAGUGGAUUAUGUGGUUUAAUUCGAUGGUAAACGAAGAACCUUACCAGGGUUAGAAAUCCUAUUGAAGACAGUAAGAAACUAUUGUCGUCGCAAGACAGUAGGACAGGUGAUGCAUGGCCGUCGUCAGUUCGUGGUUUGAAUUGUACCCUUAAGUGGGCUAACGAACGCAACCCUCGUUGUGUGUUACAAGUGUCACACGAGACCGCCUCGCCCCCAGAAAAUUUUGGAGGCAUAAAGUUUUUUGAGGGCGGGGAGGAAGGAGAGGAUGACGCCAGGUCAGCAUGUCCCUUUGAUAUCCUGGGCUACACACAUAAUACAAUGACUAUUACAACGCGCAGCGACGAGGCGACUCUGAGCUAAUCGUUUAAAAAUAGCCUCAGUUCGGAUUGGAGUCUGCAACUCGACUCCAUGAAGCUGGAAUUGCUAGUAAUCGCGGGUCAGCUAAACCGCGGUGAAUACGUUCUCAAGUCUUGUACACACCGCCCGU